GACGAACGCUGGCGGCGUGCCUAAUACAUGCAAGUUGAGCGAUGAAGAUUGGUGCUUGCACCAAUUUGAAGAGCAGCGAACGGGUGAGUAACGCGUGGGGAAUCUGCCUUUGAGCGGGGGACAACAUUUGGAAACGAAUGCUAAUACCGCAUAACAACUUUAAACAUAAGUUUUAAGUUUGAAAGAUGCCAUUGCAUCACUCAAAGAUGAUCCCGCGUUGUAUUAGCUAGUUGGUGAGGUAAAGGCUCACCAAGGCGAUGAUACAUAGCCGACCUGAGAGGGUGAUCGGCCACAUUGGGACUGAGACACGGCCCAAACUCCUACGGGAGGCAGCAGUAGGGAAUCUUCGGCAAUGGACGAAAGUCUGACCGAGCAACGCCGCGGGAGGGAAGAAGGUUUUCGGGUCGUAAAACUCGGUUGGUAGAGAAGAACGUUGGUGAGAGUGGAAAGCACAUCAAGUGACGGUAACUACCCAGAAAGGGACGGCUAACUACGUG
rnacentral:rRNA from 1 species